GUAGGGUGCGAGCGUUAAUCGGAAUUACUGGGCGUAAAGCGUGCGCAGGCGGUUUUGUAAGCCAGAUGUGAAAUCCCCGGGCUUAACCUGGGAACUGCAUUUGGGACUGCAAGGCUUGAGUGCGGCAGAGGAGACUGGAAUUCCUGGUGUAGCAGUGAAAUGCGUAGAUAUCAGGAGGAAUACCGAUGGCGAAGGCAGGUCUCUGGGCUGACACUGACGCUCAUGCACGAAAGCGUGGGGAGCAAACAGGAUUAGAUACCCUGGUAGUCCACGCCCUAAACGAUGUCGACUGGUUGUUGGGGGUUUGACACUCUCAGUAACGAAGCUAACGCGUGAAGUCGACCGCCUGGGGAGUACGGCCGCAAGGUUAAA
rnacentral:rRNA from 1 species